UACAGAGGUCCCAAGCGUUGUUCGGAUUCACUGGGCGUAAAGGGUGCGUAGGUGGCAGGGUAAGUCAGAUGUGAAAGCCCCGGGCUCAACCUGGGAAUUGCAUUUGAGACUGCUCUGCUCGGGUGCGGAAGAGGGAAGCGGAAUUUCCGGUGUAGCGGUGAAAUGCGUAGAUAUCGGAAGGAACACCAGUGGCGAAAGCGGCUUCCUGGUCCGACACCGACGUUCAGGCACGAAAGCGUGGGGAGCAAACAGG
rnacentral:rRNA from 1 species